GGCGUGGGGUAACCUGCCGUCAGUACAGGGGGGAUAACAGGUCGGAAACGAUUGCUAAAACCGCAUAACAUAGCGAAACCGCAUGAUUUUGCUAUCUAAAUAUUUAUAGGUAUGAGAUGGGCCCCGCGUCUGAUUAGCUAGGUUGGUGGGGUAAUGGCCUACCAAGGCGACGAUCAGUAGCCGGCUUGAGAGAGUGACCGGCCACAUUGGGACUGAGACACGGCCCAAACUCCUACGGGAGGCAGCAGUGGGGAAUAUUGGACAAUGGGGGAAACCUGAUCCAGCGAACCGCCGCGUGAGUGAAGAAGUAUUUCGGUAUGUAAAGCUCUAUCAGCAGGGAAGAUAAUGACAGUACCUGACUAAGAAGCCCCGGCUAACUACGUGCCAGCCGCAGC
rnacentral:rRNA from 1 species